CUUGCUCAUAACCCUCCUGUUUUGAUAUUGCUACACUGCUGCAUAUUUUCUCGGCCAGGAGCUCCAUCACUUUUUAAUUGUGUAAGUUUUUCCUUCUUUUCUGUAUGUUUUGUUCAUGCAUAAAGGUUAGGGACUUAUGGGGGAAAACCUUUUGUCAAGGUCUCUUAUUUAUAUUCCACAUUCCUGGUAACCAUGACCAUGCCAUCAAUUAUUGUUUCUCAUUUUUUUUUCCUGUGUUAUACAUACAUAAAGCUUAGGGAAGAAAGUUAUAAUCUUUUGUAAAUUCUCUUAUUUGCAUACCAUGUUUAUGGUAAGCAUGAUCAAGGCCUAUCUGCGUUUGGGGCAUAUUAAUUGCAUUUCUGAUAAUCCAUGAUCAAACAUAUAGAUAGUCUAUGUAACUUGUAGUGUAUGCAGCUAAAAUAAGCUUUAACAGGGCCAUUAUGCUAAUGGAAAACUGAAUUAAUGGGUUGAGAUGUGGAAGGAUAAAUGUGGCACUCACAAGUCACAUUAGCAUCAUCCUCUUAACUUUUCUAAGAAAUAAAGAGAUUUCUGUUACAGGUAAUUGAAAUUGGUUAAGGCAGCAAGGUUAAGUCUUAGCUGGACAAGGCAAGUGGACUUAUAAAGGUUGAUCGCAUCCUUUACUCAUCAGUUGUUUACCCACACAACUAUGGUUUUAUCCCAAGAACCAUUUGUGAAGACAAUGAUCCCAUGGAUGUUCUGGUUCUGAUGCAGAAGAUCGAGACAAGUAUUUGAAAAACAAUGAUCCUCUAAUUCAUGGGUGAGGUUGCUGAGGGCAAGGUGUAUAAGGGUUUAGGGCAGAGAUAUUAUCAGAAUAUUUUUUUGAAGAAACCAAGUGAUGAACUGAUCAUUUGAACAAAACAAUUAUGGGAAUUAACAGAACCAAUCAGAUCUUGAGGAUGAUGUUCCAUCAAAGGCAGCCAAGGUGGAUGUCCCAUCAGCCCAGCUUGUAGGUGGAAUGGUGCCGCCUUCUUUAGGUCCAGGAUGUCCUCCUCGAUCAACCUUGGGCCUAAUGCCACCAAUGUAUAAUCAUGCUGUACCUGUGCA